CCCAGACUGAUUUUUUCCCCAGGCCCCUAAAUGGCUCCCUGAAGGACUGAACUCCCAACCCUGGGUUUAGGAGGCCAAUGUUCAAACCACCGAGCUAUCUCUCCCAC